rnacentral:rRNA from 1 species
CAGGGAUUACCUUAGUAACGGCGAGUGAAGCGGUAACGGCUCAAAUUGAAAAUCGGCCCCCCCGUCGAGUUGUAAUUUGCAGAGGAUGCUUCGGCUUACGCCCCGGCCCAAGUCCGUUGGAACACGGCGUCGCAGAGGGUGAGAAUCCCGUUGCGGCCGGCGGCCCCGCCAUGUGAAGCUCCUUCGACGAGUCGAGUUGUUUGGGAAUGCAGCUCAAAAUGGGAGGUAAAUUUCUUCUAAAGCUAAAUAUUGGCCCGAGACCGAUAGCGCACAAGUAGAGUGAUCGAAAGAUGAAAAGCAUCUUGGAAAGGAAUCGAAACAGCACGUGAAAUUGUUGAAGGGGAAGCGCUCGCGGCGAGAGCCCGCGCGGUCGUUCACCGGGGCCUCGCGCCCCGGGCACGCGGCCGCGUCGGCCAGCAUCGGUUCGGGCGGCGGGAGAAACGCCGACGGCAUGUGGCUCCCCCCGGGGAGUGUUAUAGCCGCGGCGCAAUACCGCCCGCCUGGACCGUGGCACGCGCUCUCGCUCGGAUGCUGGCGUAAUCGCCGCGAGCGGCCCGUCUUGAAACACGGAC